UAAAAAGUGGCUGAAAUAAAGGUGUUAGAUUGUAAAUCUAAUUAUGGAGAUAAUCUUCCUUUUUAA
rnacentral:tRNA from 1 species